GCAGCGGCCCCCGCCGCCUCCUUCCCCCGCGGCCGCCCCCGGUCCCCGCUCACGCUCCACGUCGUGCAGCUUGGCCCGCUCCUCCUCCAGCUUGCCCUUCAGGCUCUCCGCCUCGGUUUUCAGCGACGCCAAGAUUGUCCUUGAUCCACACGGAAUAACUUUGCUCACAUUGACUCUCAUUGUCUCCCUUUAGCCAGAAAAUAGACAAUCAAAUGGCUAUUGUUCAACCUGGAGAUGUUCCAAGAUUAGAAAGGGAGAUAAGAAAAUAAGUGUUUGCAGCUGUUGUUUAGACUCUGGGCACAUCCUGGACACAGUACAGCCUCGGAGAAAAGCGUUACUCUGUGGAGCUGCUACAGAAGAAUUCAAUCACCAAGAAUUGUGGCAAAAACAGUCGUUACCACAACUGCAAACCUACCUUCCAUGUGUGGCAAAUGCACCGCAUUGUGGUGAUGGGAAUACAUGCAAGAAAGCUGGUACUAUUCCACGCUGGGGAACAUGGAAGGUCUGACUGUGUCACACAUUGUUGACUAUCUCAAAAGGCUGCUGGCCAAGAAGGACCUGAACAAAGCAGCGGCUUCAAAAGUCAGGGGAAGCAAGUAAAUAAGGAAGACAAUACAUACCUUCCGAUACUUCCGUGGGACGUAGAUUUAAGAGCGGAUUGGGAUUUUACUCACACCGUACCAGGAAGAAGGCUGAACAACGCAAAAAGAGGACUACUUCUAAGGAUCCUGCAGUUUAAAUGAAAUAUAUUUAUUUAAUUUCAAUGCCAGGAAUUAAGCUUGGUUUAUCAGUAAGACCAGAUCACAAUAGCUGCAUUCACUCCUACUCAAUGUCAGAAUUGAGGGAGGGAAACAAGCAAAAAAGAAUGGGAAAAAGAUGUGUACAUGUGUGCAUACUCAGCAUAUGUUCUGAAAGACACUGCAUUAGAGAUGGACCCAAAACAGGAGAUGAACUCUUUUCUUUCUUUUUUUUUUUUUUAAAAAAAACUUGUAAUUUAAACCUAGAUCACAAUAGGAAUUUUAUGUCUGACUUUUCUACGCUAAUGACUGAUAUGAAAAUGCAGACGUGUCAUUGCAGAGAACAAAACUAAAAUCUGCCUUCAAAAAAAAAAAAAAAAAAAAAGCACCCAAAUUCCCCCUAAAGAGCUAAAGAGCUGUCUGGUGUGCCUGAACAGUAAUGUAAGCAUUCGGCCUGAGUGAACCAAGCCAGCAUGCCUACAAAAGACAAUAUAUGUUUAUUACAACAGCAAUUCUCUUAGACUGGUUC